GAUGAACGCUGGCGGCGUGCCUAAUACAUGCAAGUCGAGCGAACGGACGAGAAGCUUGCUUCUCUGAUGUUAGCGGCGGACGGGUGAGUAACACGUGGAUAACCUACCUAUAAGACUGGGAUAACUUCGGGAAACCGUAGCUAAUACCGGAUAAUAUUUUGAACCGCAUGGUUCAAAAGUGAAAGACGGUCUUGCUGUCACUUAUAGAUGGAUCCGCGCUGCAUUAGCUAGUUGGUAAGGUAACGGCUUACCAAGGCAACGAUGCAUAGCCGACCUGAGAGGGUGAGCGCACAACUGGGAAGUGAGCCGGGGCCCAGACCCCUAGGGAGGGCGACGGGGGGAGAUCUUCCGCAAGGGGAGAAGGCGUAACGGGGCACCGCCGGGGGAGGAAUGAAGGUCUUGGGAUCGAAAAACUUUUUUAUGGGGAAAAAACAUAUGUGAAAGAAACUGGGCACAUCUUGAGGGACCAUAAUAAGAAGGCCCCGACAAACUCCGGG
rnacentral:rRNA from 1 species